AUUGAACGCUGGCGGCAUGCUUUACACAUGCAAGUCGAACGGUAACAGGCCGCAAGGUGCUGACGAGUGGCGAACGGGUGAGCAAUGCAUCGGAACGUGCCCAGUCGUGGGGGAUAACGCAGCGAAAGCUGUGCUAAUACCGCAUACGAUCUAUGGAUGAAAGCGGGGGACCGUAAGGCCUCGCGCGAUUGGAGCGGCCGAUGUCAGAUUAGGUAGUUGGUGGGGUAAAGGCUCACCAAGCCAACGAUCUGUAGCUGGUCUGAGAGGACGACCAGCCACACUGGGACUGAGACACGGCCCAGACUCCUACGGGAGGCAGCAGUGGGGAAUUUUGGACAAUGGGCGCAAGCCUGAUCCAGCAAUGCCGCGUGCAGGAAGAAGGCCUUCGGGUUGUAAACUGCUUUUGUACGGAACGAAACGGUCUGGGUUAAUACCUCGGGCUAAUGACGGUACCGUAAGAAUAAGCACCGGCUAACUACGCGCCAGCAGCCGCAGUAAAAC
rnacentral:rRNA from 1 species